rnacentral:rRNA from 1 species
GACGAACGCUGGCGGCGUGCUUAACACAUGCAAGUCGAACGGAAAGGCCCUGCUUUUGUGGGGUGCUCGAGUGGCGAACGGGUGAGUAACACGUGAGUAACCUGCCCUUGACUUUGGGAUAACUUCAGGAAACUGGGGCUAAUACCGGAUAGGAGCUCCUGCUGCAUGGUGGGGGUUGGAAAGGUUCGGCGGUUGGGGAUGGACUCGCGGCUUAUCAGCUUGUUGGUGGGGUAGUGGCUUACCAAGGCUUUGACGGGUAGCCGGCCUGAGAGGGUGACCGGCCACAUUGGGACUGAGAUACGGCCCAGACUCCUACGGGAGGCAGCAGUGGGGAAUAUUGCACAAUGGGCGGAAGCCUGAUGCAGCAACGCCGCGUGCGGGAUGACGGCCUUCGGGUUGUAAACCGCUUUCGCCUGUGACGAAGCGUGAGUGACGGUAAUGGGUAAAGAAGCACCGGCUAAGUACGUG